CGUUUAGGCGAGUGGUCCCGAUGACGUGGGCCCUGAUCCGUUGGGCCGACGUGGGGAGGAUUCCCGCCGUUGGGCACGCGGCCGCCCCUCUGGGGGCCCCCGCGCCGUUCCUCCGGCAACCGAUCAGGGCAGCGCCCGCCGCGCCCCCCUCCCCCCGCCCCCGCGGGCUAACAAUGCCUUCUAUUGGCUGAGGCCGCGGUCACGGCUCGCGCGCCGCCUUGGAGGGAGGGGCCUCCGCCCCCCCCCCCGUCCCCCCGGGAGCCUGAUGGAGGCCAGGCCCGUCUACCUCUGCCAGUCCCGGAAAGGACCCUCGAACGUUAAUUUCAGGUUCUCCUACCCAUCGACGGUUUCCGGGCCCGUUGCGGCAAACGAGAUGGGGGACAGACCUCCCCACGGUGAUAAGGAGAUGAUAUUACCCCCUUGCAAGAUAUCAGAACUGGUUUCCUCGGCUGGGAAUUUUAUCAAGAAGCAGAGGCUUAGUUCCCGCCCGAUCCUUAGGACGACCCCCGACGAAGCCCAGGACCUUCUCGACUCCCCCCUAAAUCUAGAUGCCGACUCGGAAGAGGUGGUAAGUUCCCUAGUGGCCUCCUUGCUCUCCAAGCCCUCGGACUUCAUCCGGUCGUAUCCCGAAGGCACGGAUAGCCCAGAGAGCUCCAGGCCGCCGUCCCCGGCCAAAGAGGAAUCGGUAUCUUCGGACGAAGAAUACUCCUUCAAGUCCUUUGAUGGCUUCGAGCUGGACAACGCGGAGCUUUACCUGGCUCUCAUCCGGAAUCAGCUCCCUUUCCUGACGUAUGUCACCAUAAUGAGGAAAGUCGAGAACAAGGAGAUAAUGCUAAGGCUCCACUACCUCUCGAACAAACCCAUCCAAGAGGAACGGGAAGAGUCUCCGGAGGUGUUUAUUCCGGAAAGGGUCAGGGUUUUUCCAGAAAUCGAUUUCGAGUGUGACGUUAUCUUGCCGCCGAUAUUGCCUGAAGUAAGGAGCGUGGAGGCAGUGGAGAGUACACCUCCGGUACUCCAUGAAAGCAUGCUGGGGCUGGAGGUCGAAUACUCUAUUCCGAUAAUCACGGGACAGGAGGUGAUUAAAGCCACGGUACCACGCAAUGUGGAGGACUGGGGUUACCAUAUCUGGCAAUCAAUAAAUGCAGAAAGGUCGUGAUUGCCUUCGUCAGAUGAUAAAAAUCAAACGCCCCAUGCCGUUCGAAGUUUUUGUCAGCGGAAAGUGAAGAUUCGUUUUCUACCGGUGUGGACGAUCGCUAGCUUUAUGACUGGGGUUACCAUAUCUGGCAAUCAAUAAAUGCAGAAAGGUCGUGAUUGCCUUCGUCAGAUGAUAAAAAUCAAACGCCCCAUGCCGUUCGAAGUUUUUGUCAGCGGAAAGUGAAGAUUCGUUUUCUACCGGUGUGGACGAUCGCUAGCUUUAUGAAUCUAGGCGGAGUAAAGGAGGGCUAGUCCUUGAAUUCGACACUUUGAGAAGUUGGGUCGCACUAAAACGUACACACGCCCGAUGGCCCUUCAAAGAUAUGCAAAGAUCCAUCGAUCGCUGGUAUUCAUUGAGCACUCGCUGUGUGCAGAGCACCGGACUGAGCAGAAUUGGCAGGCACGUUCCCCGCCCACAGCCUAGAAGGAGAGACG
rnacentral:lncRNA from 1 species